UUUUUUUUUUUUCUUUUUUGUCUUUUUGCCUUUUCUAGGGCCUCUUCCUGCGGCAUAUGGAGGUGCUCAGGCUAGGGGUCUAAUCAGAGCUGUAGCCACCGGCCUACGCUAGAGCCACAGCAGCACAGGAUCUGAGCCGCGUCUGCAACCUACACCACAGCUCAUGGCAACGCCAGAUCCUUAACCCACUGAGCAAGGCCAGGGAUGGAACCCGCAACCUCAUGGUUCCAAGUUGGAUUCAUUAACCACUGCGCCAUGACAGGAACUCCAGAGUCUCUUUAAGUUUUAAGCAAACCGAGGGCAGAUAGUGAGAGACGGUUUUGGCGGUCUGAACCCCUAACCCUCCUUAAGAGCUGUCUCCAAGCCCUCCUUCCUGGCCUUAUCCAACCCAGAGAGCAAGGGCCUGGGAGAAUCCCCCGCCCUGAGUUAUUUCACCGAGAACCACGUUGCCCUUGUCAAGGAUCAUUGCAAAGCCCUGGGGAGGGGAUGGAGGCCUCUGAGCAGGGAAUUGGCAGGUCAGCGUGAGGGCUGGACCAAAACCUCAGAGCAGUCAUGACCCCCAAACAGCUAGAGUCACAACCAGCCUCAGGGAGUAAACCGCCUAAAGUAGGAUUCCAGAUUCAACAGACAAGGUCUGAGAAGCUUUCCAAGCACCGUCAUUUAUUUCGAUUCUCCUGACCAUCAGAGGAGGUGGCUCUCUUGUCCCUGAUUCCUGACCAGGAAGGAGAACCCUGGUUCAAGAUGACCUUGGGCAGACCCUUCCCUGGCAGCUCUGAUCAAACCUCAAGUUCCUUCCCUGCCCUGGAGUUGCCCCUCUGUAGUCUUGGGCAGGGUCGGGAAGGUCAGGGAGAGGGGAAGCGAAGUGGGUGGAGACCCCCAGGGCUCCUAUAACAAGUCACUCCUGAGCCAUCAGGGGGGCUGGGCUGCAGGCACCGGUGGGAGGGACCUCGCAGGCAGCUGUGAAUCAGGCCUUUGGGGUCUUGGCUGUUAAAAGGCUGCCUUUGAAAGACUUUUCCUUGCUAUGCUUAUAGGAACUAUUCCCAAUGAAAUAUUAAUGAAUGCUAAAAAAGUUGAUCAGACAAAAUACACAGAGGCUCAUAUAAAUUCCAUUCUUUAUUAAAAAUACUGAAAUACUUUUUACAGCAAGAACAGAAAAUACUGCAUUGUCUUGGAAUCUUCAGAUUUAGAAAUUCUUUUGAAUUGGUCCCAGGUUCAUGAUACUCCAUACUAGAAAAAAAAAUGCUACAUCAAAAAUGAAAAAAAGCACCUGAAAAUACUAAAAUCAUUAAGGCCAGUAGUGUUUACUUGACGAAAGUGUACAUAUCUGACUACAGGGUACCUACAGUCACUGUUUAUGGGAAUACAUUAAAAUCAGAGCUCUCAGUAAUGAAAGAAUUGGCCCAAGGGACAAAGUUAUAGACAGUAACCAAAAGGUUUUGAAAAAUUAAAAGCACAUUUUGAUAUGGGGUCAUAUAUAAUGGGCUAUUUGCUAACAGUCUAUUUGCACGGAACAUUGUGAACAAUGACCACAUCGACUUACUCCUGAAGAAGCGUUUCACUCAGAGGCUGCUUAUUACAAAGAAGACACACUGUAAAUAUGUGCAGAAGACAUGUAGAUUCACACACACAGGAUGCAUCUGUGUUACAGUAUGUGGUGAAAUUAAACUAGAGGAUAAAUAAGUUUAAUAAACUCUACACUUCGAGGCACAUGAGGAUUAAAAUCACGUUGUUUCUAAGUUAUGAAUACAGCAUCUUUUCUCCCCACCCCCGCCCCCAUUUUUCAUACCUUAGUGUAAUGCCUAUUUGCAUUUAACCUAGUUAUCUUAUGUUUGCAUGCUUUGCAAACUGAAUUACAGAACCAAAUUGCCUAUUACAACUUCCCAUUACGUGACACAAUUACAUAGGAACAUGGUGAGGUGAGCGGAUGGUCCCAACGUCGGGAAACACGGAUUGCAUCUUGCUCACAAAGAGCAAAAAUUAAGGAGCUGCUCCUUCCUCACAUGACAGGGUUUACUGCUCUUUCUCUCCAGUGUAAAUGCUGUUUCCCAGCACAGUCAGUCCCAUUCACUGAUUUCUGGUUUGCAAAAUUAGACCCACUGGCAUUUAAAAAAUAAAAAAGCCAGACCCAAAAACUAUACCACUGCCUAAGCUCCAAGCGCUCCACAUUCCUCAAGCACUUCUAAAUAAAGCAGGGAGUUGGAGUAAUGUUCCAGAAUUACCUUAUGUCCAUAAAAAGUGAAAGCACAAUGAAUUUUCAAGUAAUUAGAGCAUCUGUAGUACACACACCAGGCCCUUUUGCACACGUGCCUCAGCCCAAGCAAAUGAAGCAAAAACUUUCAUGGGAUGACCUUUGUCUCAAAUCCCCAGACCUAACCACAAGUAUACACAGGAAAAUGUGCCCACACACCCUUUUACAAUCUUUAAUUAAAAGGGAGGGGAGACCGUCUAGGUGGAGACAAUGGCCAUAGUCAAUCCUGUUUUUCUCUUACCGAGAUGAGUAGCUGCGGCACCUGUACUCUCAUUAAGGACAGAAUUUAGACAGGGAAAGCGUGCAGCUGCCAGUCUCCCAGGUGGAUGGGGAGCAGAAUGUCUCCUGUGUGGGCAUGUCAGGGUCGAGAUGCAAAAUAAACAGGUGGAAACAUGAGAUUAACUAAGGCUGAGUUGAAAGAAGGAAUCUGAAAAUAAACCCCUCAACUUAUAAAACGAAAGGCACAACAUUUCAAUCACCAUCAUUCAACCUCGAGAGUUUAGCAAACAUGGAUUUCCACUGACUCAGAAUUCCUCAUCACUUAGCAAGAGCCGUGUCAGACAACCGCAGCCUAGCAUAGCUGGUGUAACACUACCUUUUGGCCUCACGAGGCUUCAUGAUGUUACCAUGGCACUUAACAAAAAGCUCUCACUGUUAAUGUGAAGAAAAAAUAGCAACAGGAUACAAUUAUGAUGAAAUGAUUUUAUUUCAUCUUAUUUAGUUUCCGUGUGUGUAUAGCAUAAAAAGUAAAUUUAUCUACAAAGGUACUUAUAGUAUAAAAUCUUUGUAUUAAUAAAAUUACUUCUGGGGAUACACAGGAGAAAAUCUCAUCAACUGAUAUCUAUAAAAUGAAAAUAUAUGCUGUAUAAAGCAACUGCUAUUUCAAAAUUUCUGGAGGAUGAGAUGGAAAGGCUCAUUUUUUUUUUUAAUCCUCAUAUGAUCAAAGCCAUAGCUGGCAGAUGGCAACAAAUUAAGUAUUGUGGCUUAGAACACAGUGGAUAAUGAAAAAUACCAAAGUCCUCCCAACUCUCUCACACCUGGGCAGAAACACUUCCAGUUCCUAUGGAGGAAACAAGUUUACCUUCUAGAAAGACCACUGCGGGGGUGGGGUGGGGGGAGCAGUGGCACAUGAUGGUGCUGAAUAAAGGCCAGGAAUAGAGCAUCCCCAUUCCAGAAUUUUGCUUCCUUUCUUCCUCCUCUAAACCACAUUUCCUUCGGGAAAUAUGUCAUCAUCUUUACCUACCCAGACAUAAGCCACUUAAUACUGUCACAUCUCGGUAGACUCAUAAAUGUCUAAAAACAAACCCUCACCGCAGAAGUGCUUCUGAGGUAGGUCACGGUGCUUCAUCUUUGAUCCUGGCUGGCCCUCCUCAUUAAGGCUGAGACCCUGGCCUGGCUUCGGUCACUGGGAGGUGCAGUCAGUGCUUUGGGGGUCUGGACAAAGCUACGUGUUCUAUAAAGGACUGUGGAUGAUCCUAAUUGCUCCUGGAGGGCACUGACUUCGUGUGGAUUGCAUGAGGCAGCCUGGCUAGGAGAAACAACUCAUGCUUCUCAAGAGGUAAGUCACAUCGGCUUCAGGUCACUUGGCUCUUGACCUUUGGGUCUGAAUGAGGAGGGACGCCUCGUGGGACAGGCACUGGGCCUGGGCUUGAGGAAGGAUGCGAGGCCUAUCAGUGAGACAUCAGGGCGAGUCACAGAGUGAAGCCAUCAAAAGGGACAGGACUCUUCCGCCACUCAAGGGACAGACUGCAUGGGCAGGACCUUGAGGAAUGGAAUGAAAAAGCAGAGAUCGGGUGCAAGCAUGACAGGGCUGGAGGCCGGUGACGAGGGGACGAUGGGAGGCAGGCAGGGGGCAGGAUGGUCUAGCCACGGAGGGAAAGGCUACCUGUUAAUUCUCUAUUUCUCUCUCCACCACCUCUUCUUCCCACAGGGCAUCUGAGCUAGUGGAAUGAAGAGAACAGAAAAGAGGAAGCAAAAGACGCACGGAGACAGGAAGGAAGAGUGAAAUGGAAAGUAACAAAUAAUGAGGAAGGAGAGCAGAGUGAUGCUUAUGCGGCUCAGAGGAGGAGCUAUGGGCCCACAAGAGAAGAGAAUGAGAACAUAUCUAGACGCGGUCAGACGGCAGGAGUGGCAGAAACUAGAAAUCAUAAAACAGAAGACUGAGGAGCCCACAGCCCCACUGGCCUUAGCUGUAAAUGCCUUUGCAAGUCAGGUGGACGCCAACCUCCUCUUCCAGAUGAGGAGAUGGGAGUUGGGGGGUUGUUUCUUCGCACUGCACCAUAAUCCGCCCCAGCAGAGAGGAGUAGAACAGGUGGGAGAUGCUGCGGAGAAGGAAGUGAGUUGUCCAUACGCCCCCUAAGGCUUCUUGCUCCCAGUCCUCUGGCAUUCCAGGGUCCUAGGUACACUCACAAUACCCUGCACUUACGAUGCCUAAAGAUACAGCAAUGAGAUUACUUUAAAAUGAACGUGCUGAAUGUUCAUCCAAGUGACACUGCCCUUCAAAGUAGCCUAUGCCUUGCUGCUCCUCAUCCUGACACCUGCCUAGUACAUAUAAGUUAACAAUGAAGUAUGGCUGUUAUUGCUCAAACCAUCUGACCCAGUAAGGAAAACAGACAAGGAAAAGACACAUGAGCAAGGAGACACACUGUUUACAUCUCAAAUGGGAUACCUCUGUUGCUCAUCAGACAUGAUCCCAGUGACUUUGGC
rnacentral:lncRNA from 1 species